UACGUAGGGCGCAAGCGUUGUCCGGAAUUAUUGGGCGUAAAGAGCUCGUAGGCGGCUUGUCACGUCGGGUGUGAAAGCCCGGGGCUUAACCCCGGGUCUGCAUUCGAUACGGGCAGGCUAGAGUGUGGUAGGGGAGAUCGGAAUUCCUGGUGUAGCGGUGAAAUGCGCAGAUAUCAGGAGGAACACCGGUGGCGAAGGCAGGUCUCUGGGCAUUAACUGACGCUGAGGCGCGAAAGCUAGGGGAGCAAACAGG
rnacentral:rRNA from 1 species